rnacentral:lncRNA from 1 species
CAUUGUUUUUUGAAAGAGGAUGAGUAUAAUUAUUUUUUAACAUUGGCUCUUUUGUGUUACAGGCAAUCUGUUACCACACAUUUUCAUAUUCACUUCAGAAAGGAAACAAAAUAGAAGUGUGGAUGCAUGUUAAUUACCCAAAAACAUGGUGCACCAGAUGGCCACCACUGACUGCCUCCGACUCCUGGCCACAGUUACUCACACAGGAGCCAAACCCCUUCAUUAAAGAAUAAUUUAUGACAGACCAGCCAGCAUUUUAAACAAAAGAGUUUUGGGGAAGG